rnacentral:rRNA from 1 species
AUUGAACGCUGGCGGAAUGCUUUACACAUGCAAGUCGAACGGUAGAGGGGGCAACCCCUCGAGAGUGGCGAACGGGUGAGUAAUAUAUCGGAACGUGCCCAGUCGUGGGGGAUAACGUAGCGAAAGUUACGCUAAUACCGCAUACGAUCUAAGGAUGAAAGCGGGGGAUCGCAAGACCUCGCGCGAUUGGAGCGGCCGAUAUCAGAUUAGGUAGUUGGUGGGGUAGAGGCUCACCAAGCCAACGAUCUGUAGCUGGUCUGAGAGGACGACCAGCCACACUGGAACUGAGACACGGUCCAGACUCCUACGGGAGGCAGCAGUGGGGAAUUUUGGACAAUGGACGCAAGUCUGAUCCAGCCAUUCCGCGUGCAGGAUGAAGGCCCUCGGGUUGUAAACUGCUUUUGUACGGAACGAAAAGGUCUCUCUUAAUACGGGGGACUCAUGACGGUACCGUAAGAAUAAGCACCGGCUAACUACGUGCCAGCCGCCGCGGUAAAAC